GGAAGCGCUCGGGGGCUGGUGCUCUCUGCGGUCUUCAAAACCGUUGUCCGGCGUCGAUUCCGACGGCGGGGGUGGGUUCGAUUCCCAUGCGCUUCCGCCA
rnacentral:tRNA from 1 species